AAUGCACCAAUUUGUAAGUCGCUCUGGAUAAGAGCGUCUGCUAAAUGACGCAAA
rfam:Salmo salar isolate Sally breed double haploid chromosome ssa12, whole genome shotgun sequence.